rnacentral:pre_miRNA from 1 species
CUUUGUAUUCUUCCACGGCUUUCUUGAACUGCAUUUCAUUAUCUCUCGUUUUCUUCGAAUUAUAUCCUUUUACACAAUACAUAUAUAUAUAUAUAUAUACAUAUUCCUCUUCCUAUGUAUUUCAAUGGCUGCAGUUCAAUAAAGCUGUGGGAAGAUACAAUAA